rnacentral:rRNA from 1 species
CAGCAACGCCGCGUGUGUGAUGAAGGUCUUCGGAUUGUAAAGCACUUUCGACCGGGACGAAAACGCCUGAGCUAAUAUCUCAGGUCUUGACGGUACCGGGAGAAGAAGCACCGGCUAACUCUGUGCCAGCAGCCGCGGUAAUACAGAGGGUGCAAGCGUUGUUCGGAAUUAUUGGGCGUAAAGCGCGUGUAGGCGGCUUUGCAAGUCGGGUGUGAAAGCCCUCGGCUCAACCGAGGAAGUGCGCCCGAAACUGCAGAGCUUGAGUGCCGGAGAGGGUGGCGGAAUUCCCCAAGUAGAGGUGAAAUUCGUAGAUAUGGGGAGGAACACCGGUGGCGAAGGCGGCCACCUGGCCGGUAACUGACGCUGAGACGCGAAAGCGUGGGGAGCAAACAGGAUUAGAUACCCUGGUAGUCCACGCCGUAAACGAUGAGAACUAGGUGUCAUGGGUGUUGACCCCCGUGGUGCCGUAGCUAACGCAUUAAGUUCUCCGCCUGGGAAGUACGGUCGCAAGACUA